AGGGGCAUCAUGAUCUAGCAAUAGAUUGAUGGCGACCGGCGCACGGGUGAGUAACACGUAUCCAACCUUCCAUUAACUCGGGGAUAGCCUUUCGAAAGAAAGAUUAAUACCCGAUAGUAUAGCAUUUCGUCUUGGUUUUGCUAUUAAAGAAUUUCGGUUAUUGAUGGGGAUGCGUUCCAUUAGUUUGUUGGCGGGGUAACGGCCCACCAAGACUUCGAUGGAUAGGGGUUCUGAGAGGAAGGUCCCCCACAUUGGAACUGAGACACGGUCCAAACUCCUACGGGAGGCAGCAGUGAGGAAUAUUGGUCAAUGGACGGGAGUCUGAACCAGCCAAGUAGCGUGAAGGAUGAAGGCUCUAUGGGUCGUAAACUUCUUUUAUACGGGAAUAAAGUGAACCACGUGUGGUUUUUUGUAUGUACCGUAUGAAUAAGGAUCGGCUAACUCCGUGCCAGCAGCCGCGGUAAUACGGAGGAUCCGAGCGUUAUCCGGAUUUAUUGGGUUUAAAGGGAGCGUAGGCGGGUACUUAAGUCAGUUGUGAAAGUUUACGGCUCAACCGUGAAAUUGCAGUUGAUACUGGGUGUCUUGAGUGCACGUAGAGGUAGGCGGAAUUCGUGGUUAGCG
rnacentral:rRNA from 1 species